rnacentral:tRNA from 1 species
GCCUGGGUGGCUCAGUCAGUUGAGCGUCUGACUUGGGCUCAGAUCAUGAUCUCACAGUUCAUAGGUUCGAGCCCCAUGUCGGGUU